UGGGGAAUAUUGCACAAUGGGCGAAAGCCUGAUGCAGCAACGCCGCGUGAGUGAUGAAGGCCUUCGGGUUGUAAAGCUCUGUCUUCUGGGACGAUAAUGACGGUACCAGAGGAGGAAGCCACGGCUAACUACGUGCCAGCAGCCGCGGUAAUACGUAGGUGGCAAGCGUUGUCCGGAUUUACUGGGCGUAAAGGAUGCGUAGGCGGAUACUUAAGUCAGAUGUGAAAAUCCCGGGCUUAACUUGGGAACUGCAUUUGAAACUGGGUAGCUAGAGUGCGGGAGAGGAAAGUGGAAUUCCUAGUGUAGCGGUGAAAUGCGUAGAGAUUAGGAAGAACACCAGUGGCGAAGGCGACUUUCUGGACCGUAACUGACGCUGAGGCAUGAAAGCGUGGGGAGCAAACA
rnacentral:rRNA from 1 species